UGCCAGCCGCCGCGGUAAUACGGAAGGUGCGAGCGUUAAUCGGAAUUACUGGGCGUAAAGAGCACGUAGGCGGUUUGUUAAGUUGGAUGUGAAAGCCCAGGGCUCAACCUUGGAAUUGCAUCCGAUACUGGCAGGCUAGAGUACAGUAGAGGGAGGUGGAAUUUCCGGUGUAGCGGUGAAAUGCGUAGAGAUCGGAAGGAACACCAGUGGCGAAGGCGGCCUCCUGGACUGAUACUGACGCUGAGGUGCGAAAGCGUGGGGAGCAAACAGGAUUAGAUA
rnacentral:rRNA from 1 species